rnacentral:rRNA from 1 species
UACCCAAUCCCGACACGGGGAGGUAGUGACGAAAAAUAACGUGGCGGGGCCCUUUCGUGGUCGCCGCGGGCGGAAUGAGCGCAAUUUAAAAGAGUGUGCGAGGAGCUAUUGGAGGGCAAGCCUGGUGCCAGCAGCCGCGGUAAUUCCAGCUCCAAUAGCCUAUAUCGGAGUUGCUGCGGUUAAAAAGCUCGUCGUUGGAUCUCGGAGGCGGCACGGUCGGGCGCGAUACGCUGC